rnacentral:rRNA from 1 species
UACAGAGGGGGCAAGCGUUGUUCGGAAUUACUGGGCGUAAAGGGCGCGUAGGCGGCCUUCUAAGUCGAACGUGAAAUCCCCGGGCUCAACCCGGGAACUGCGUCCGAUACUGGAAGGCUUGAAUCCGGGAGAGGGAUGCGGAAUUCCUGGUGUAGCGGUGAAAUGCGCAGAUAUCAGGAGGAACACCAGCGGCGAAGGCGGCGCUCUGGGCCGGAACUGACGCUGAGGAGCGAAAGCGUGGGAGCAAACAGG